rnacentral:tRNA from 1 species
UGGGGUAUCGCCAAGCGGUAAGGCACCGGUUUUUGAUACCGGCAUUCCCUGGUUCCGAAUCCAGGUACCCCAGCCA